GGGAGAAAGGGGAAUGGAGAGGGGGAAUGGACACCAGAGCCUCCUAUUUCCCAGCAUUUCCACAUGGGGAAGGCCAGCAUCUCACCAUGCGCACUGCGACAGGAUGGCGGAAAGGUGGGGUGGCGCAGAAGAGCAGGCUGCUGCCCAGGCCCCUAGGCUACAUCCAAAGGAUGUGUGUCAGGACCCUCCUAGACUGUCAUGAAUUCACCCACAUUACAGGGCUGGGUCCUAUACACCUGUUUGUAAAGAGCUCCCCAGGAAUGGAAUGGUGAGAGGCCACCAAGGGGCGGCUGGUAUAUCCCUGGAGGAUCCCAAAUAGACAAGCUCCCUGUCCUGCCAGGAAUCCAGAUGUGGCCCAGAUGUCCACAGCAGCCCCUCCCACAGGGUGGGACACCAGCUAUUCCGUGCAGCCCCUCCCAACCCAUCUCCCCUGGUCAGGGGAGGAAAGCUGGCAACCUCCAGUGCCCCUUCCCCAUUCGGGCUGCCUGGAGGGGGCAGCUCCCUCAUCCUGGGUUCACCUCCAAGACAGCCACCUGAGUUCAGCCUGUGGUCUAAGCUCUAGCCCUCGGCUGACAGGUUAAGUCUAGAUGCCCAGGAAGGAAAGCAUCAUGGGUCAGUUU